GGAGAUGUGCGAGGAACUUGCAAGGGGAAAAAGUAUUGUCUCACAAUUUCCAAUCCAAGUGCGAAUUAUAUCCCAACAACAAUGUCAAAGUCAUUUAAUUUUUUUUUGCCUAACUUUCGCUACGAAUUUGCUAGGGAAAUGCUAGUAAUUUGCGGGAGAAAAGAAUCUUGUCUUACAAUUUCCAACUCAAGUUUGAACUAUAUCCCGA
rnacentral:lncRNA from 1 species